AGUGAACGCUGGCGGCGUGCUUAACACAUGCGAGUCGAACGAGAACGGGUUAUAGCUUGCUAUAAUUGUCAGCUAAGUGGCGCACGGGUGAGUAAUGUAUAGGUAAUAUGCCUCUUACUAAGGGAUAACAAAUGGAAACGUUUGCUAAUACCUUAUACUCCUUAUUAACAGAAGUUAAUAAGGUAAAGAUUUAUUGGUAAGAGAUUAGCCUGUAUUGUAUCAGUUAGUUGGUGGGGUAAUGGCUUACCAAGACUAUGACACAUAACUGGUUUGAGAGGAUGAUCAGUCACACUGGAACUGAGACACGGUCCAGACUCCUACGGGAGGCAGCAGUGGGGAAUAUUGCACAAUGGACGGAAGUCUGAUGCAGCAACGCCGCGUGGAGGAUGACACAUUUCGGUGCGUAAACUCCUUUUAUAUGAGAAGAUAAUGACGGUAUUAUAUGAAUAAGCACCGGCUAACUCCGUGCCAGCAGCCGCGGUAA
rnacentral:rRNA from 1 species